rnacentral:rRNA from 1 species
CCCUUAGAUGUUCUGGGCUGCACGCGUGCUACACUGAUAUUGCCAAUAUGUCAUUCUUAUCCGAAAUGGAUUGGGUAAUCAAGUAAUGAAAUUUCAUGCUUGGAAUCGGUAAUUGCAAUUUUAUCGUGAACGAGGAAUUCCUAGUAAGCACUAGUCAUCAGCUAAUGUUGAUUAUGUCCCUGCCCUUUGUACACACCGCCCGUCGCUACUACUGAUUGGGUGUUCAAGUGAGAUGCUUAGACCCUUGUUGCAUGGUUCAUUAUUGUGCUCCGUAAGGAAAAAGUUUCAAGCUUGAGUGUCUAGAGGAAGUAAAAGUCGUAACA